rnacentral:rRNA from 1 species
CGGCUACCACAUCUAAGGAAGGCAGCAGGCGCGUAAAUUACCCACUCCCAGCCCGGGGAGGUAGUGACGAAAAAUAACAAUACAGGACUCAUUAUAGAGGCCCUGUAAUUGGAAUGAGUACACUUUAAAUCCUUUAACAAGGACCUAUUGGAGGGCAAGUCUGGUGCCAGCAGCCGCGGUAACUCCAGCUCCAAUAGCGUAUAUUAAAGUUGUUGCGGUUAAAACGUUCGUAGAUGAACUUGUGCUUCAUACGGGUAGUAUAACUAUAAUUGUAGUCUGUACUAUACCUUAUGUAUGUAAGCGUAUUACCGGUGGAGUUCUUAUAUAUAUUAAAUACUUGUAUUUAUAUGUAUUCCUCCUAUUUAAACCUGCUUCAGUGCUCUUCAUUGCGUGCUGUUGUAGGCCGGUACAAUUACUUUGAACAAAUUAGGGUGCUUAAAGCAGGCUCCAAAUGCCUGAAUAUUUUGUGCAUGGAAUAAUGAAAUAAGACCUCUGUUCUACUUUCAUUGGUUUUUAGAUCAAGAGGUAAUGAUUAAUAGAAGCAGUUUGGGGGCAUUAGUAUUACGACGCGAGAGGUGAAAUUCUUGGACCGUCGUAAGACUAACUUAAGCGAAAGCAUUUGCCAAAGAUGUUUUCAUUAAUCAAGAACGAAAGUUAGAGGUUCGGAGGCGAUCAGAUACCGCCCUAGUUCUAACCAUAAACGAUGCCAGCUAGCAAUUGGGUGUAGCUACUAUUAUGGCUCUCUCAGUCGCUUCCCGGGAAACCAAAGCUUUUGGGCUCCGGGGGAAGUAUGGUUGUUAAGCUGAAACUUAAAGGAAUUGACGGAAGGGCACCACCAGGAGUGGAGCCUGCGGCUUAAUUUGACCCAACACGGGAAAACUUACCAGGUCCGACGAUAAGCGUGUAAGACAGAUUGAUAGCUCUUUCUCGAAUCUAUGGGUGGUGGUGCAUGGCCGUUCUUAGUUCGUGGAGUGAUUUGUCUGGUUAAUUCCGAUAACGAACGAGACUCAAAUACAUUAAAUAGAUGCUUUCAGGAUUAUGGUGUUUGAAGCUUUUAUAGCCUUCACUCAUGAAUGCAGUAACAUGUGUGAGUGUUUGAAUGUGUUUAUAAAGGUGGAGCCGUACCUGUUGGUUUGUCCCAUUAUAAGGACACUAGCUUCUUAAAUGGACAAAUUGCGUCUAGCAAUAAUGAGAUUGAGCAAUAACAGGUCAGUGAUGCCCUUAGAUGUCCUGGGCUGCACGCGCGCUACAAUGAAAGUAUCAACGUGUAUUUCCUAGACCGAGAGGUCCGGGUAAACCGCUGAACCACUUUCAUGCUUGGGAUUGUGAACUGAAACUGUUCACAUGAACUUGGAAUUCCCAGUAGGUGUGAGUCAUUAACUCGCAUUGAUUACGUCCCUGCCCUUUGUACACACCGCCCGUCGCUACUACCGAUUGAAUUAUUUAGUGAGGUCUCCGGACGUGAUCACUGUAACGCCUUGCGUGUUACGGAUGUUUCGCAAAAGUUGACCGAACUUGAUUAUUUAGAGGAAGUAAAAGUCGUAACAAGGUU